ACAAACUUGGUCAUUUAGAGGAAGUAAAAGUCGUAACAAGGUUUCCGUAGGUGAACCUGCGGAAGGAUCAUUAACGAGUUAGGGUCCCUCGCGGCCCGACCUCCCAACCCUUUGUCUACCUGACCACUGUUGCUUCGGCGAGCCCGUCUGUAAUGGACCGCCGGGGGGUACCUUGAUCGGCCCUCUGGUCCGCGCUCGUCGAUAGCCAAACUUUUAAAAUCUUAACCAAACGUGUCUCAAUCUAAGUAUUAUUUGUUAAAUAAAAGCAAAACUUUCAACAACGGAUCUCUUGGUUCUGGCAUCGAUGAAGAACGCAGC
rnacentral:misc_RNA from 1 species